rnacentral:misc_RNA from 1 species
GAAAUGCGAUAAGUAGUGUGAAUUGCAGAAUUCAGUGAAUCAUCGAAUCUUUGAACGCACAUUGCGCCCCUUGGUAUUCCAUGGGGCAUGCCUGUUCGAGCGUCAUUUGUACCCUCAAGCUCUGCUUGGUGUUGGGUGUUUGUCUACUUCUUUGUGAUUAGACUCGCCUUAAAACAAUUGGCAGCCAGUGUUUUGGCAUUGAAGCGCAGCACAUUUUGCAAUUCAAACUUAAACACUUGCGUCCAUAAAGCGUAUUUUACACUUUUGACCUCGGAUCAGGUAGGGAUACCCGCUGAACUUAA